AACGAACGCUGGCGGCAGGCUUAACACAUGCAAGUCGAACGAGAUCUUCGGAUCUAGUGGCGCACGGGUGAGUAACGCGUGGGAAUCUACCUUGGAGUCUGGGAUAACAGUUGGAAACGACUGCUAAUACCGGAUACGCCCUUAGGGGAAGGUUUACUGCUCCGAGAUGAGCCCGCGUCCAAUUAGGUAGUUGGUGAGGUAAAGGCUCACCAAGCCGACGAUUGGUAGCUGGUCUGAGAGGAUGACCAGCCACACUGGGACUGAGACACGGCCCAGACUCCUACGGGAGGCAGCAGUGGGGAAUAUUGGACAAUGGGGGCGAACCCUGAUCCAGCCAUGCCGCGUGAGUGAUGAAGGCCUUAGGGUUGUAAAGCUCUUUCGCCGGUGACGAUGAUGACGGUAACCGGAGAAGAAGUCCCGGCUAACUUCGUG
rnacentral:rRNA from 1 species